rnacentral:lncRNA from 1 species
GAAGAGUUACAUUCAGAAAUAAUUACAAAUUAAGCUAUGAUAUCCAGCAUAAAAUUAUAAACUGAGAAAAGGAAGAGAGAAAAAAGCACAAGGGUCUGGAAAGGCUUAAUGAAGAACUGGGAUGUGAGCUGGGAAGGAUUCAUAUGGGUGGGGAGGAAAGGAGAUGGACCAGAGGCUGAGAAUGAAUCCCAGUGGAAGGCAUUGUGGACAGCACACAGGACUCUGCCUGGAGCCAGGCAUACAAAGACUCUGAUCCUGCGGUGCCUUCUUGGACUUCUUAUACAAAACAAGAGACUGGAUUAGAA